AUACGGAGGAUCCGAGCGUUAUCCGGAUUUAUUGGGUUUAAAGGGUGCGCAGGCGGCCAUUUAAGUCAGCGGUUAAAUCGUGGGGCUCAACCCCAUUCUGCCGUUGAUACUGGGUGGCUUGAUUGCGGUCGAGGUUGGCGGAAUUCGUUGUGUAGCGGUGAAAUGCAUAGAUAUGACGAAGAACACCGAUUGCGUAGGCAGCUGACCAGACCGCAAAUGACGCUCAUGCACGAAAGUGCGGGGAUCGAACAGGAUUAGAUACCCUGGUAGUCCGCACAGUAAACGAUGAAUACUUGUUUUCGGCGAUAUAAUGUCGGAGGCAAAGCGAAAGCGAUAAGUAUUCCACCUG
rnacentral:rRNA from 1 species